UAAGCCCUGCUCAGAAGUCAAGAGCAGCAGCGCCGCCGCCUUGGCGCGGCCUUUCAUGACGCGGUCGCUCCUUAUUCUUGUGCCUCGGCCUCUCUGGUCGCCCCCGGACAAAGCCACCGGAGCCCGACCGCUCCCUUCCCGCUAAAUCCGCUUCGGGGUCAAUGCGCUACCAGCACCGGGCCGCGCGCUUCUCCUGCCAGCCGUGUGGCUCUUAAAGAGCCGCACCCCCCCCCCCCCUCCGUCCUGCGCGCUCCCCCGACCCCCGCCUCCCCGCCCCUCUGCUCUGGAUCUAGCCUUAGGUCCCUGCUGCCCCGAC
rnacentral:lncRNA from 1 species